rnacentral:tRNA from 2 species
UCCUCAUUCGUAUAAUGGCUAUUACAACACCUUUGUAACGUGUCAGAUGCAGGUUCGAGUCCUGUGUGGGGAACCA